UACGUAGGGGGCAAGCGUUGUCCGGAUUUACUGGGCGUAAAGAGCGUGUAGGCGGCCAUACAGGUCCGUUGUGAAAACUCGAGGCUCAACCUCGAGACGCCGAUGGAAACCGUAUGGCUAGAGUCCGGAAGAGGAGAGUGGAAUUCCUGGUGUAGCGGUGAAAUGCGCAGAUAUCAGGAGGAACACCGGUGGCGAAGGCGCACAUCUGGCCCAAUACUGACGCUGAGGCGCGAAAGCUAGGGGAGCAAACGGG
rnacentral:rRNA from 1 species